rnacentral:rRNA from 1 species
GACGAACGCUGGCGGCGUGCUUAACACAUGCAAGUCGAACGGAAAGGCCCUGCUUUUGUGGGGUGCUCGAGUGGCGAACGGGUGAGUAACACGUGAGUAACCUGCCCUUGACUUUGGGAUAACUUCAGGAAACUGGGGCUAAUACCGUAUAGGAGCUCCUGCUGCAUUGUGGGGGUUGGAAAGUUUCGGCGGUUGGGGAUGGACUCGCGGCUUAUCAGCUUGUUGGUGGGGUAGUGGCUUACCAAGGCUUUGACGGGUAGCCGGCCUGAGAGGGUGACCGGCGACAUUGGGACUGAGAUACGGCGCAGACUGCUACGGGAGGCAGCAGUGGGGAAUAUUGCCCAAUGGGCGGAAGCCUGAUGAAGCAACGCCGCGUGCGGGAUGACGGCCUUCGGGUUGUAAAACGCUUUCGCCUGUGACGAAGCGUGAGUGACGGUAAUGGGUAAAGAAGCACCGGCUAACUACGUG